UAACAUGCAAGUCGAGCGAGGCGGCCCGCAAGGGUCAGUCGAGCGGCGAACGGGUGAGUAACGCGUGGAUAACCUGCCCAGAGGUGGGGGAUAACCCGGGGAAACUCGGGCUAAUACCGCAUGAUAUCGAGAGAUCAAAGGGGGCUCGCAAGGGCUCUCGCCAUUGGAGGGGUCCGCGUCCGAUUAGCUAGUUGGUAGGGUAGUGGCCUACCAAGGCAACGAUCGGUAGCCGGCCUGAGAGGGUGAUCGGCCACACUGGAACUGAGACACGGUCCAGACUCCUACGGGAGGCAGCAGUGGGGAAUUUUGCGCAAUGGGCUAACGCCUGACGCAGCAACGCCGCGUGGAGGAUGAAGGUCUUUGGAUUGUAAACUCCUGUCAGCAGGGAAAAAGCGACUCGGACGAAUAAUCCGGGGAGUUGAUUGUACCUGCAGAGGAAGCCCCGGCUAACUCUGUGCCAGCAGCCGCGGUAAUACAGAGGGGGCAAGCGUUAUUCGGAAUUAUUGGGCGUAAAGGGCGCGUAGGCGGCUUGGCAAGUGGAUGGUGAAAUCCCUC
rnacentral:rRNA from 1 species